AAUGAAAUCCUUAAUCUUUAAAACUAAUUUCACCGUCAGUCCCUAGCCUCUAUCUAUUUUUUCACUUUAGUCCCUAACCUCUUCUCACAUUGCGCGUCCAUCCCGUCGAAAUCCGGUCUCACCACCCUCUAUCCGUCGAGGAAUUCUACACUAUCACACUUACACUACAUCAUCAAUAACAAACCAAUCGUAUUCCUUCCUUUCAAACAAAAGUACAAUAAUAAUAUUUUUUUACAAUCAUGAUGGGACAUAUACCCCUAAAAGAAAAUAUUUGAUUGGUCUGUUAUGCCACGUCACCAAUAUACCCAUUGCAUUCUAGAAUUUUUCCUAUCUGCCGCCCUACCUAUGAUCACCUCGAUCUU
rnacentral:lncRNA from 1 species